rnacentral:rRNA from 1 species
AGAAUCAACGCUGGCGGCGUGCCUAACACAUGCAAGUCGAACGAGAAAGUGGAGCAAUCCAUGAGUAAAGUGGCGCACGGGUGAGUAACACGUGACUAACCUACCCUUGAGUGGGGAAUAACCUCGGGAAACCGGGGCUAAUACCGCAUAACACCUACGGGUCAAAGGAGCAAUUCGCUUAAGGAGGGGGUCGCGGCAGAUUAGUUAGUUGGCGGGGUAAUGGCCCACCAAGGCUUUGAUCGGUAGCC